rnacentral:rRNA from 1 species
GUUAGGAAUAUUGGACAAUGGGCGAAAGCCUGAUCCAGCCAUGCCGCGUGAACGAUGAAGGCCUUCGGGUUGUAAAGUUCUUUAGCCGAUGAUUAUAAUGACUGUAGUCGGAAAAUAAGCCCCGGCUAACUUCGUGCCAGCAGCCGCGGUAAUACGAAGGGGGCGAGCGUUAUUCGGAAUCACUGGGCGUAAAGCGUGCGUAGGCGGUUUUGUAAGUUAGGAGUGAAAGCCCAGGGCUCAACCUUGGAAUUGCUCUUAAAACUGCAAGGCUCGAAUCUCGGAGAGGAUAGCGGAAUUUCCAGUGUAGCAGUGAAAUGCGUAGAUAUUGGAAGGAACACCAGUGGCGUAAGCGGCUAUCUGGACGAGUAUUGACGCUGAGGCACGAAAGCGUGGGGAUCAAACAGGAUUAGAUACCCUGUAGUCC